ACCGAGCACUCUCACUCUUCGCGGUAACCCAGUAGGGCAUCCCUUAAAGAUGCGUGAAUGUAGUUUAACGCCUUGUUAAAGUAAUAAGCACAUCCGACACUCUAAGUAACAAUAAGAGAUGAUAUUUGCCUUUUCCUCAGACCCACGGAACACACAAACUGAAAAUCUGGGUGUACGGCCACUGCUGCAGAGCAGAGAAGGAAGGGAUUUCUUGGAAUUCCUCCAGGACAAAAACAAGGAAAAUACAGGAUAACAGCUAAUCGAGUUUGUUUCAUCUAGUGCAGUAACAUUAUACCUUCCUAGCUGUAAAGGAAGAAAGUAGAAGAACAACACGGAAUGAUGAUGGAGGAUUGAGGCACAGAGAGGUGAAAAGAUCUCCCCAAGGUUACAUGGAAAGUCUCCUGGUGACAGGUCACAGUUUCAAAGUUCAGCUCCAGUUUGGCAACACUGGCAUUUUUGAUGCAGUGCAGUUCUCCAGAAAAACAAACCCUAAUGUUAAGGGACACAGUGUAAAUAAAUUUGCCUGAUAACCUUCAUACAAUUACAA